rnacentral:rRNA from 1 species
AAUGAACGUUGGCGGCGUGGAUUAGGCAUGCAAGUCGAGCGUGAUAGGUUUGGUGCUUGCAUUAAACCUUGAAAGCGGCGAAAGGGACAGUAACGCGUAGAUACCUACCUCCAGGUCCGGGAUAGCGGCGGGAAACUGCCGGUAAUACCGGAUAAUGUCUUCGGACCAAAGGUGUGAUUCCGCUUGGAGACGGAUCUGCGUCCUAUUAGCUAGUUGGUGGGGUAAUGGCCCACCAAGGCGAUGAUGGGUAGCGGGCGUGAGAGCGUGGCCCGCGUCACUGGGACUGAGACACUGCCCAGACACCUACGGGGGGCUGCAGGCGAGAAUCUUCGGCAAUGGGCGCAAGCCUGACCGAGCGACGCCGCGUGCGGGAUGAAGGCCUUCGGGUUGUAAACCGCUGUCGGAGAGGCGGAAAUCUCUAGGGGUUCUCCCCUGGAGUUGACCUAUCUCGGAGGAAGUCCGGGCUAAGUUCGUGCCAGCCGCCGCCGUAACAC